CCUACGGGUGGCAGCAGUGGGGAAUAUUGGACAAUGGGCGAAAGCCUGAUCCAGCCAUGCCGCGUGUGUGAAGAAGGCCUUCGGGUUGUAAAGCACUUUCAGUGGGGAAGAAAGCCUUGGGGCUAAUACCCUCGAGGAAGGACAUCACCCACAGAAGAAGCACCGGCUAACUCCGUGCCAGCAGCCGCGGUAAUACGGAGGGUGCGAGCGUUAAUCGGAAUUACUGGGCGUAAAGCGCGCGUAGGCGGUCUGAUAAGCCGGUUGUGAAAGCCCCGGGCUCAACCUGGGAACGGCAUCCGGAACUGUCAGGCUAGAGUGCAGGCGAGGAAGGUAGAAUUCCCGGUGUAGCGGUGAAAUGCGUAGAGAUCGGGAGGAAUACCAGUGGCGAAGGCGGCCUUCUGGACUGACACUGACGCUGAGGUGCGAAAGCGUGGGUAGCAAACAGGAUUAGAUACCCGAGUAGUC
rnacentral:rRNA from 1 species